GAUCAGGAUGCUCAAUUAUUGGGAUGUCAGUCAUUAUUAGCAGUUCUAGAUGAAUGCGGAAGCAGUUUGCCAUACUUGAAUGAUGAUGCAUUUGCUCUUUUGACUUCAUUGCUUGGUUCGGAGGUUUCUAAAGAAGCUAUUGCUAUAAUCGAAGUGUUGUCCCGCCACCAAAACUGUCACCAUAAAAUUACCAUGUCUGGUGCACUACCUAUUCUCCUGGAGAUUCUUGAUGCCCACAGUAGAGAAUUGCAGGAAUCAGCCAUCAAAAUAUUAUGUAACAUGUCAGGAAGUAGCAAAAUUGGUUCCUUGAUUGCACCUUCAGAGUUGGUCCCAAAAUUGGUUCCUUUUCUUGAAGAUACAGCACUCGCAAGAAAUUGUGUUAUCAUUUUGCAUAGUUUGUGCAACAAAGAAGAUGCUAGAAUUGCUAUAGCUGAAACUGAUGGAUGCAUUGCAGCAGUUGUGAAACUGCUUGAGCGUGAGAGUCGCAAGGACCAGGAACAUGCUGUGGAUUUUCUUCUUUCUUUAUGCCUUCAACGGGUUCAAUAUUGUCAACUGGUAAUGGAUGAAGGUGUCAUCCCUGAACUCGUCUCUGUAUCUAUUAAUGGAAACAACAAAGCAAAGGCAAUGGCUUUGGAGUUGCUGAGACUGCUGAAGGGGGAAUUUAGUGAUACUGUAGAAUCUUACGAACCGGAAAUCGACAUUCCUAAACCCCCUACCUCUGACUUUACUCAACAGAAAUCUCAUUCCGAAGGAACAGGAAUUUUUGGGAAAUUUUUCUCAAAACGUAGUUCGACUACUGCCAAAAGGAUAAAUAGAAAGUGAUGCGGUUUGAAGAUUUUUGUAUGAUAGGAUGUGUAUAAUUUCACAGGUUAAUCUAGUUUUUGUUAGGGAGAGG
rnacentral:misc_RNA from 1 species